GAGAUGGUGAGUGUCCACCCAAGGCGGCGGUAGUGGGCUCCGGCCGCCCGGCGUGGCCGUCCCCGGGCAGGGGUUCUAGUCCUUGGGCGUCACCCCGCGGGACGGGGGAUGCGGGCCUUUAGUCCCAGCCGAGGCGGAGCGACCGGAAGCUGGUGUGUGAGGGGCCCCCCCGGAGGUCCGCCCUCCGGCUCGAUUAUAGUUUAGCAUUUUGGGCAGUGUUGGGCGACCAGCCAGGCUGCUGCGUUUCCUGAAGUCCGGCAGGCAUAUGGGAGGCACCGUAGGCGUAGACGCUUUACAAGUGCGUUGCCUUGCCUCCUCCGCUCUGUGUAGUAGGCAGAAGUGGAGGAAACACUCAAGAGGCUUCAGAGCCAGAAAGGAGUACAGGGCAUCAUUGUGGUGAACACAGAAGGCAUUCCCAUCAAGAGCACAAUGGACAAUCCCACCACUACACAGUAUGCCAACCUCAUGCACAACUUCAUCUUGAAGGCGCGGAGUACUGUGCGUGAGAUUGACCCCCAGAAUGACCUAACCUUCCUUCGAAUUCGCUCCAAGAAAAAUGAAAUUAUGGUGGCCCCAGAUAAAGACUAUUUCCUGAUUGUGAUUCAGAAUCCAACUGAAUAAUCCAUCCACUGUCUUGGCUUCCUGUGUCAUUCCUUAAUUUAAUGUCCCCCAAGAAUAAUAGUGUUAAUCAUGUCAGUGGGCACAUGGUGGUUGCCUGAGAGCCCAUGAAGACCAUACCAUUGAUCAAGGGUAGCUCUGCCCACCCCACCAAGGAGUGCCUCUGAUGACCCAGUCAGUCCCCAGGACAGCUCAGUUCUCAUUUCCAGGCUUUGGAAUGAGAGCUUAUGAUAAGCCCACACCCAGCUUCCUUCUGACCCUCAGUUCCCUUUGUCCCCUUGGAAAGCUGUUUUGUUUCUUAAACUAAAAAUUACUUCAACCCCCUA